CCUACGGGCGGCAGCAGUAGGGGAUAUUGCUCAAUGGGGGAAACCCUGAAGCAGCAACGCCGCGUGGAGGAUGAAGGUUCUAGGAUUGUAAACUCCUUUUGUUAGAGAAGAUAAUGACGGUAUCUAACGCAUAAGCACCGGCUAACUCAGUGCCAGCAGCCGCGGUCAUCCGUAGGUGGCACGCGUUGUCCGGAUUUAUUGGGUGUAAAGGGCGUGCAGCCGGGAAGACAAGGCAGAUGUGAAAUCCCGCGGAUCAACCGCGGAACUGCCUUUGAAACUGUUUUUCUUGAGUACCGGAGAGGUCAUCGGAAUUCCUGGUGUAGCGGUGAAAUGCGUAGAUAUAAGGAAGAACACCAGUGGCGAAGGCGGAUGACUGGACGGCAACUGACGGUGAGGCGCGAAAGCGUGGGGAGCAAACAGGAUUAGAUACCCCAGUAGUC
rnacentral:rRNA from 1 species